rnacentral:rRNA from 1 species
UGGGGAAUAUUGCACAAUGGGCGAAAGCCUGAUGCAGCGACGCCGCGUGCGGGAUGAAGGCCUUCGGGUUGUAAACCGCUUUUAAUUGGGAGCAAGCGAGAGUGAGUGUACCUUUUGAAUAAGCACCGGCUAACUACGUGCCAGCAGCCGCGGUAAUACGUAGGGUGCAAGCGUUAUCCGGAAUUAUUGGGCGUAAAGAGCUCGUAGGCGGUUUGUCACGCCUGGUGUGAAAGUCCAUCGCUUAACGGUGGAUCUGCGCCGGGUACGGGCAGGCUAGAGUGCAGUAGGGGAGAUUGGAAUUCCCGGUGUAACGGUGGAAUGUGUAGAUAUCGGGAAGAACACCAAUGGCGAAGGCAGAUCUCUGGGCUGUUACUGACGCUGAGGAGCGAAAGCAUGGGGAGCGAACAGGAUUAGAUACCCGUGGUAGUCCAUGCCGUAAACGGUGGAUGCUGGAUGUGGGGCCCUUCCACGGGCUCCGUGUCGGAGCUAACGCGUUAAGCAUCCCGCCUGGGGAGUACGGCCGCAAGGCU